CCUAGGCCUCUAAUGAGUGUCCACGGGGGCCAUGUUAUCCUCAGUAAUGAGGCCCAGUGUUGGUUCUGAGCCUCCAGACUCCAGGCUGCUGCCAGUCCUCCUGGGGCAGAUCUUGGAGUCCAGGAGCUGUGUGUCUGUUUCUGAAUGGUGAAGGGUGGGAGGCAAGCCCUGCCUGGAAACAGCCCUGCUGGCAGAUGAGGGAUUGUGCUGUGAGGUUCUGCUGGGGGCUGCCGCUGGCUCCUGGGCUCAGUGACUACUUCAGGAGGGAAGCUGUUCGUUAUCCACAGCCUGAGCACUUGGCCUUUCAUACUCCAUUUUUAACUGCCAUCCAGCAACAGCUUUAUCAAGGCUUCAGCCAGUGUCUGCUGGGCUUGGUCCCUAGAAGCCUGCUCUUACCCAAUCAAAUUUUUCCUCAUAGCUCACCCCACUCUUGCCUUCAGGGCCUUACUGAAGACCGACUGAGAGCCAGGCAGCUGUCAAUCAUGUCUGAGAGCGUUUCUGCCACAUAUAGGGUUCUUCUGGUGAGAAGUUCUAGCAACCAGACUACAUCAUACUGACCCCUAUGGAAAUGAGGACUUAAUGUGCCACAGAUAACUGUCCCAUUUGAAGGUCCCAGCACUGACGUGGAGCUGGAUGGUAGAGGGCUGUUCUCAGUGGGAGCAGUCAGGGGUCUUUCUGGAAGGAUCUGAUGGCUAACGAGAUAGUUGGCACUUAAUGCAUUGUCCAUGCACUAAGUUGCUUUAUAUGUUGGGUUCCCCCCCCCCCCGACAUCUUCACAGAGGUGGGAUAGGCACUAACAGUAUCCCCGUUUUAUAGGUGAGGAGAAGGUGGCAUGUGUAAUGGAAGCUUCUAGAAUCAAUGGAGAACAGUGAGGAUUUGAGUAUUGGUCUUCUUUGGACACCUCUCUCUCUCUCUGCUCUGUGCCAUGACUCCCCAGAAGGAGGCCGUCAAAGCAGGGCACUUUAGCAUCCAGAUAAGAAUGCAUGAGAGCCAAGCCAGACCACACCUGGCUUUUCUUUGUGUGUUACUAGGCUGUACCAUCUGCUUGCCCACAGGUGCUUAGGUGGGAGAGGUUGGCAAUGAGGUCCCUAUGACUGCCCCCACACACCCUACUUGGUAGCUAUCCUAGGGCCUCAACAAGGCUAAGGAAGACUGAGACAGAACACACAGGGCUUGCGUUGGAGUUUGGUUGCCUGCGUGUCUAACGUGUCUCUCCUUUCUCUGCUCUGUGCUGCAGGGACUCAGACCCUUCAGGUAGCCCAGUCUCAGGUUGCUUUGCCCGAUGCUUCUGCCAGAGGGAGGUCUAUUAGAAGGUGGUGGGAUCAUGAGAGGCGAGAAACCCAGACAUCUCUAACUCUUCUUGCCAACUCAGGAGCCACCUGUGGCCCCAGCUGGCCACCAGCCGUUCCUCCCUCAGAGGCCUCCAUUUCCACAAAAGGCCUUCCUGGUUGUUCAGGACAGAGCCUGGUUUCCCUGAUACCCCUUCUCUCAGUGGCCACUGAAGUUACAGGGAUGCAGCCAGCCGUGGUUGCCAUGUCUGUAUAUGCUAAUCUCCGAAUUCCACUUCCUGUUUAGAUUCUCAGCAGUUCUCCCGUGCUGGGCUCCAAUCGCUCAAAUUAAAAUUCUUUUUGUUGUUGUUGUUUAAUACUUGAAACUGGGUUUGUUUGCCUGACUUGGUCCUGGAUGAUUAAAACCCUCUAAACAAGGAUAUGUAACAGUGUCCCUGUUUGAGACCGACUCUUUGGAAGACUUCUAGCAAUCAUGACAUCUGAGCUUGCAGAAAAGAAAACCAGAAAUGUCAGGCCUGGCUAAGCACUGGCUUCUUGGGUAACCUCUGCUUUUGAAGACCCCCUACCCCCAUCCCCCGUCUCCAUAGCUUUAAGAGAAGGUAGAGCGAACAUCCUGGGCAGGUCUCCUUCCAGGAGGCAGAAAGCUGGACUCCAAGUCUGGAGCAUGGGGGCUUCUCUGUGCUGAUAGUACGCAGAGGGAUUAGGAGGAGAGAGGGAGAUCGUCUGUUUCUCUGGAGCCAGGUCCACACGAAGAAAAUGAUUCUACUCCUCUGCUGCGGCUCACCUGGCUCUCCGUCGCUCACUUGGGCUGCUUCUUUCCCACCGGAGUAAGCGAUUGGAAAGCAAAGGAGGAUUUGCUGAUGUGCUGAGUCCUCCAGCACAGUGCCUUCGAGGCUCAGAGGCUGCUUGCUCUUCAGGGGAGCUCGGAGACCCAGCUAUUCCCCAGUCUACCCUAGAGUCAGUGAUUUCAUCACUGACUCCAAAGCUCAGAGGUGACUUACCAGGGUCACAUAAUCAAUCUCCGGCACAACCAGCCACAACCUCAGAUGGAUGGAUGGAUGGAUGGAUGGAUGGAUGGAUGAGUCAAAGCCCAAGAGCCACAGUGAGGUGCCUCAGGGACUGACUGCAUACACAGAGCUGGGUGGCUCAAGUUCUGUCAAGUUGGAAAAACACGAGGAGAGAGCCCUGGUUGGUUGGCUCCAGGUGUCCUGGAUCUCAGGGGAGAUCCCUCACAGGCUGGAGUGAGUUCAGAGGUAAAGCAGGGCCCAGAGCAUCGGGCCAAGGAGAGCAAUGGUCACAGGCAUUGGAGAGAGGACACAGGGAAUGGGAAUGAUCAUGCAGCUUCCCUCCAACAGAGCAAGGGUGAAAAACCAGGUUUGCUCCUUUCGCUGUAGAAUGGGCAUCCAGAAGAACAAGGAGCCAUAGGGCAAGAAGGGAACCAAUGUAGGGCUAUCAUGGGCUAAAGAAUGGAGAGGUAUUUGGCUCAUGGUUCAAGAGACUUGAAGUCCAGUAGCCGGAUACAUACUCCUGUGCCUCCAACCCUCUUCAGUUACAUUGACUGUGUCAGCCCCGCAAGAGUCUACACAGCUGGCUGUGGAGCCAGGAAGGAGUGAAUUCUGCACUCUCAGCCACAUGGGAACAUUGGCAGACUCCAUCUUGUGGGAUCACUUGUGAAGCCUUUCUCACGCCACAGCAGCAUCCCUAGCUCCCAUGAUGCUCCUCACCUGCAUCACCUGCAUCUUCCCUCUGAACCCGGUGUCACGGCAAAUAUGUCUUUCUCACAUGGCCACUAAUAUAAAAAGUGUUUUCCUCCUCCUUCAGUCCCAGGGGGAGCUGGAUCCCCGAAAUGAGGCCGUGAUGGGAAGAUGAGAAAUCCGGCUUGCUGAGUGAGCCCUCCGAGUGGUUUUCCAGGAGCUCUGUGGGACCGCAAACCUCCUGAGCUAUAAAUCGCUAGCCCAGCCCAGUGAAGUUGUCAUCCAGUGGCUUGCCCACUGACAUGGCUGGUUUCUUUCUGGUUGCUCUCGACCCCCACGUGCCCCUGCUGUGCCAUUUGCUGAAGGCUUACUUCAGGACCAGCAACUACUGGUACUCUCUUGGCUGCUGUUGGCCACCGGGUCCAGAGCGUAAACACAAAACUCCGCUGUGGGUCUCUCUGCAGCACAGACUCAUCUUGCAGAGCUUCGGUGGUUUUAGGUGAGACCCAGGGCAAGCUUUCUAUCUGCAGGUUUGCUUCUAACACCUUUAAAUACAGCCUUCAGCUGUUGGUUCUUGGCGGGCAUUCAGUGCAAACCCCUGUUCUGCCUGGCAAUGUAGAGACUCUGGGUGAAAUGCCGACAGCAAGACUUGGCAAGUGUUACGUAUAAUUUGGCUUUUCUUCCUGUCACCUGUGUGCCCCUAACCCAAACACAACCAUAUAAGGUUUGAAGACAAAUGGGGUUUGGAGAAUCAAAUUUUCCCCUUAUCUCUGAUAUUUACAUAUAGUUUUAGGCAUCAUUUAACGGGAGGGCCACGGACUGAGGGAUGUUUGGUAGUGAAUGUUAUGUGGACAUCAGAAGGUGCUGGAAGAAGCUAAGACCCAGCUUCAUUAGAUAAUAAAACUUUAUGGGCGUGGUCUCUCUGUCA